rnacentral:rRNA from 1 species
CGGCGGACGGGUGAGUAACACGUGGAUAACCUACCUAUAAGACUGGGAUAACUUCGGGAAACCGGAGCUAAUACCGGAUAAUAUAUUGAACCGCAUGGUUCAAUAGUGAAAGACGGUUUUGCUGUCACUUAUAGAUGGAUCCGCGCCGCAUUAGCUAGUUGGUAAGGUAACGGCUUACCAAGGCAACGAUGCGUAGCCGACCUGAGAGGGUGAUCGGCCACACUGGAACUGAGACACGGUCCAGACUCCUACGGGAAGCAGCAGCC